rnacentral:rRNA from 1 species
UUAACCCAAAGGACUUGGCGGUGCACUAAUCCCCCCAGGGGAACCUGGCCCUUAAUUCGAUGAUCCACGAACCUCUUACCUUUUCUAGUUUUGCUUAUCUUUGCAAGAAGUAAACAAAGAUCAGCUCGCAUACCGCCGUUUCGUAGCUUGUAUCGUGAGAGGACAUAAACAGGCGCCCUAGUGGCCCGUAUAAAAAUAAAUAAGGGUUUCUCUAAUAAUUCAGGUAAACUUUCGUCGCCUAUGGAAAGGGGGUGCUGGGUUACAAUUGGGGUUUAUAAUGGCGUGGCUGCCUUAAGGGCAAGACAAAAGAGGACUUGGAAGUAAUAGCCUUGGACAAUGAGGCUGUGAAUACUGCUCUAGUGUGUGUACAAAUCGCCCGUCACUCUCUGA